rnacentral:rRNA from 1 species
UGGGGAAUUUUGGACAAUGGGCGCAAGCCUGAUCCAGCCAUGCCGCGUGCGGGAAGAAGGCCUUCGGGUUGUAAACCGCUUUUGUCAGGGAAGAAAUCUUCUGAGUUAAUACCUCGGGAGGAUGACGGUACCUGAAGAAUAAGCACCGGCUAACUACGUGCCAGCAGCCGCGGUAAUACGUAGGGUGCAAGCGUUAAUCGGAAUUACUGGGCGUAAAGCGUGCGCAGGCGGUUUUGUAAGACAGAGGUGAAAUCCCCGGGCUCAACCUGGGAACUGCCUUUGUGACUGCAAGGCUUGAGUGCGGCAGAGGGGGAUGGAAUUCCGCGUGUAGCAGUGAAAUGCGUAGAUAUGCGGAGGAAUACCGAUGGCGAAGGCAGCCCCCUGGGCCAAUACUGACGCUCAUGCACGAAAGCGUGGGGAGCAAACAGGAUUAGAUACCCUGGUAGUCCACGCCCUAAACGAUGUCAACUAGUUGUUGGGGAUUCAUUUCCUUAGUAACGUAGCUAACGCGUGAAGUUGACCGCCUGGGGAGUACGGUCGCAAGAUUAAAACUCAAAUGAAUUGACGGGGUCAUAGCUGUUUCCU